rnacentral:rRNA from 1 species
UACGUAGGGGGCGAGCGUUGUCCGGAUUUAUUGGGCGUAAAGAGCGUGUAGGCGGUUCGGUAAGUCUGUCGUGAAAUCCUGAGGCUCAACCUUGGACGUGCGAUGGAUACUGCCGGGCUAGAGGAUGGUAGAGGCGAGUGGAAUUCUCGGUGUAGCGGUGAAAUGCGCAGAUAUCGGGAAGAACACCUAUGGCGAAGGCAGCUCUCUGGGACGGUACUGACGCUGAGACGCGAAAGCGUGGGGAGCAAACAGG